rnacentral:rRNA from 1 species
CUGCUGCCUUCCGUAGGAGUUUGGACCGUGUCUCAGUUCCAAUGUGGGGGACCUUCCUCUCAGAACCCCUACGCAUCGUCGGCUUGGUGGGCCGUUGCCCCACCAACUACCUAAUGCGCCGCAUGCCCAUCCGUGACCGGGGUCGCCCCCUCUGGCCGGCAGGGGAUGUCCCCUCCCGGCAUUAUGUUGUAUUAGGCGGGAUUUCUCCCGGUUAUCCAUCUGUCACGGCCAGGUUGCAUACGUGUUACUCACCCGUGCGCCGGUCGCCGG